UCGUCUUCUCCAAAUCGAUUCAUCGCAGCCCUAGUACUCCAGCUGAAUCCAAGCGCCGUUAACUCAAGCGUCGUUGAAUCAACGUAUUCACUAAAAUCAGCUCUCCACUCUCACGAAUCACGAUCUCCAUUACUUCUUUAACCUCUUUUGUGCAAUAAGAAUGUCUAAGAUAGUUCACCAACAAAAUCACGUAAAGGUUUUAUUCCAACAGAAAAUACUGCACAAGUAUGUCUACAUACACGAAAGCUACUGCGAUCAACAAGAGCUUGCAAAUAUUUCCAGGAGCUUCGAUUCAACCUUUUAAAAGACGCUGUCAAAGAAGGUCUAUUGCAUUUCCAGAAAGGUAGCGUUUCCACAAGAAAUCUUAAUGACCAUCAACAUCGUCCAUGACUAGCAGAGGAGUAUAGUUCCAAUUCUAACGCAAA